rnacentral:misc_RNA from 1 species
AUAGCAAAAAGAAAUCUCCUGGAAUAAAUUUUGUUGUGUUUGGUUUUGUUUGAUAAUUUCACAUUUCCAUUUCAGAUACUAGUUUUCCAAUUUGUCGUAUUUAUCUGUUUCUGAAUGAGUAUGCUAUUCUGGUUCCUCUGCUUUUAUAUAAGUGUUUCAUUUGAAAAUUUUUUAUUACUUCUAAGACAAUGCUAAUUUUCACAACUUAAAAUUGAAUUGCAACUUGGGUUCUUUGUGGGAGCUAUUAUGGAAAAUGCUUGAAAUUUUAGUGUUUAUUGUAGUAUGUUCUUUUCCAAAUAGAAGGACAGUUCUUUUGUUGCUCUUGCUGGCUGUCAUGUCUUCUACACUCAUAAA